AUUGAACGCUGGCGGAAUGCUUUACACAUGCAAGUCGAACGGCAGCACGGGGCAACCUGGUGGCGAGUGGCGAACGGGUGAGUAAUACAUCGGAACGUGCCCAAUCGUGGGGGAUAACGUAGCGAAAGUUACGCUAAUACCGCAUACGAUCUACGGAUGAAAGCGGGGGAUCGCAAGACCUCGCGCGAAUGGAGCGGCCGAUGUCAGAUUAGGUAGUUGGUGGGGUAAAGGCUCACCAAGCCAACGAUCUGUAGCUGGUCUGAGAGGACGACCAGCCACACUGGGACUGAGACACGGCCCAGACUCCUACGGGAGGCAGCAGUGGGGAAUUUUGGACAAUGGGCGCAAGCCUGAUCCAGCCAUGCCGCGUGAGUGAAGAAGGCCUC
rnacentral:rRNA from 1 species